rnacentral:rRNA from 1 species
AGCGAACGCUGGCGGCGUGCCUAACACAUGCAAGUCGAACGUGAACGGGGGCAACCCUUAGUAAAGUGGCGUACGGGUGAGUAACACGUAGGUAAUCUACCCUGAAGUCCGGAAUAACCGGCCGAAAGGCUGGCUAAUACCAGAUAGAGCGACGGAAUCCGUAAUUGGGUUUUUCGGGUAAGGGAGCUCUGUAAGAGCCUUCGCUUAGGUAUGAGCCUGCGUCUCAUUAGCUAGUUGGUGGGGUAAGU